UACGGGGGGGGCAAGCGUUGUUCGGAAUUACUGGGCGUAAAGGGCUCGUAGGCGGCCAACUAAGUCAGACGUGAAAUCCCUCAGCUUAACCGGGGAACUGCAUCUGAUACUGGAUGGCUUGAGAUUGGGAGAGGGAUGCGGAAUUCCAGGUGUAGCGGUGAAAUGCGUAGAUAUCUGGAGGAACACCGGUGGCGAAGGCGGCAUCCUGGACCAACACUGACGCUGAGGAGCGAAAGCCAGGGGAGCAAACGGG
rnacentral:rRNA from 1 species